GAUGAACGCUGGCGGCGUGCCUAAUACAUGCAAGUCGAGCGAAUGGAUUAAGAGCUUGCUCUUAUGAAGUUAGCGGCGGACGGGUGAGUAACACGUGGGUAACCUGCCCAUAAGACUGGGAUAACUCCGGGAAACCGGGGCUAAUACCGGAUAACAUUUUGAACCGCAUGGUUCGAAAUUGAAAGGCGGCUUCGGCUGUCACUUAUGGAUGGACCACCGUCGCAUUAGCUAGUGGGUGAGGUAACGGCUCACCAAGGCAACGAUGCGUAGCCGACCUGAGAGGGUGAUCGGCCACACUGGGACUGAGACACGGCCCAGACUCCUACGGGAGGCAGCAGUAGGGAAUCUUCCGCAAUGGACGAAAGUCUGACGGAGCAACGCCGCGUGAGUGAUGAAGGCUUUCGGGUCGUAAAACUCUGUUGUUAGGGAAGAACAAGUGCUAGUUGAAUAAGCUGGCACCUUGACGGUACCUAACCAGAAAGCCACGGCUAACUACGUGCCAGCCGCCGCGGUAA
rnacentral:rRNA from 1 species